CGAUCCGCUGCUCCUGGAGACCACUCCGUUCCCGUUGCCGCCGGCCACCUCCCCAACCUGCAGCUGCCCGAUAUCAAGUAAGAAAGUUGGUAAUGAACACUCACAAGGCAGAGUCUCCCCCAUCAACAUCUGAUUGGCAGAACCUCCUGCUCUAGACCCUCGACUGGUUGAGGCCGCCAGUUAGCACGUGAGGGCACUCAUUACCCAGUUUGCAAGCUGGGUACAACUGCAGUUGCAAAAUCAUCUGGCUGAACUUUGGGAUGACGGCAUCAAAGGCGUUUAUCCCAUGCUUCUGAAAUCAUGAAAAGAGGGACAACAAACUCAAGAGGAGGUACAAAAGAGGAAUCUCAGGGUUGAACUUGAGGAGCGUGAACGCAAGCACUUUUCAUCCAAGGAUACGUCCUAUGUUGACGAGAGGGACAAGUGAAAAAGUUCAGGCAUGCUCUUAGAAGGUUCAAACAGGAUGAGGAUAAGAUAGUUCCACGCAAAAUUGUUGCAGAUGGCUGCGACGUGGAGGCCAGAAGUGAUGUUGAAAGGCAUGUUUAAUGCUUGCUCAGUAAUUAAUAAACCAUACUUCUCCAAAAUGUUGAUGAGACUCUGCUCGGUGUUGCAUGGAUGGGAUUAACUACUACAUCUUCUACUGCACUAACAAAUUGCUUCGUGGAUUGGGGCUGAAACUGUUCUUUGUGUGCCAUCUACCAUAAACUUUGGUAUUGGGACCGCCAGCAAGCAGAAGAGGCCAAGAUGAAGGAGGCUGAGCUGAUGCGAGGAAACCCAUUUAUCAGUAUGAAUAACUCAGGAUCCUUCAAUUGGAAGAGAAGGUGGGAUGAUGAUGUUGUAUUCAAGAAUCAGGCUCAUGGAGAGACCAACAAUACAAAACCGUUCAUGAACGACACCAUUAGUCGUGAUUUCCACCGCAAGUUUCUGCAUAGUAUAGCAUUGUUCCUAUCCGUUUGUCUGCUGAAGACUUGUCUAUGCUGCAGCUUAAGAUGGUAGAUGAAAUGAAUGACUAGGAAGGUGAAUCAGCAGCCGAUGGUUGUGGAGAAGAGGAUGAAAAGUCUCGUGGCGAGAGAAGAGCCAUAUCCAAGUAGAAAUUUCUAGAAAACGGGAAAAAGAAGAUUGAGAAGUUGCUCAACUCAAUUUUCUGCAUAUGUCAGUCUUACAUGCUUGGUACACAAGAUAUGACCGAAGCAAAAUACAAGAAGUGGGAGAAGGAACCCGCAUCACAUGUCUGGGAUGAUGAGCCCAUCUGCUGACUUUAUUCGUUUCAUUGAUGGAUCACUAGAGGAGGAAUGUGUGGGCUUUGCAUUGCCCCGUCCGUCGGCGACCUGAGAGAUUCCAGGGAUCAUGGCCCACUAUCGAUUCUAGUUUUCUUGGUUCUAGUUGGAAGGCACACAUUAAAUCUUCUGCAAUAGUUCUUGGUUCUUGACUCUGGGUAAUUAAUUUAGUAUUUUGUGUGUGUUUGUAUCCAUUUUGGAAUACAUUGUUCAAGAUGUACCACAAAUGGCAACCAUGAUCAGUGUAGGAAUUUAGGAAGUAACCGCAUAACUUGGAUUUUAUUUCUUCUCGAGAAGUAGAUCAUUUUAUAUA